rnacentral:lncRNA from 1 species
GGUCCUGUAGUUAAUUGUCCCUUGAGUUUUCAUUUCAUCUUUUUAGAAUGAAGGGUUGAAUAGAUACGAUUAGGUGAGAGUUGGUAGGUGUUGUUUCGUUGAUAGUUUUUUUUUUUUUUAGUUAGCAUUUCUUUUGAUUUCAUGGGAGGAAGAAAGUCACGCCUAGGUGCAACUUUUGUUUUUUAUUUAAUUGUUGAAGGCAAAUGAUUGACGUUGAUGAAUGAAGAAGUGACUUAAUGGGAGUUUGGUUGAAGGGUGCUCAUGGACGUCUGUGUUAAGUCUCUGGCAAGUGUACCAGAUCCUUAUCAAGUAAUAUAAACGAGUAAGUCCGAG